UGUGAGCUCGAUGAGUAGGGCGGGACACGUGGUAUCCUGUCUGAAUAUGGGGGGACCAUCCUCCAAGGCUAAAUACUCCUGACUGACCGAUAGUGAACCAGUACCGUGAGGGAAAGGCGAAAAGAACCCCGGCGAGGGGAGUGAAAAAGAACCUGAAACCGUGUACGUACAAGCAGUGGGAGCACAGAGCAAUCUGUGUGACUGCGUACCUUUUGUAUAAUGGGUCAGCGACUUAUAUUCUGUAGCAAGGUUAACCGAAUAGGGGAGCCGAAGGGAAACCGAGUCUUAACUGGGCGUUAAGUUGCAGGGUAUAGACCCGAAACCCGGUGAUCUAGCCAUGGGCAGGUUGAAGGUUGGGUAACACUAACUGGAGGACCGAACCGACUAAUGUUGAAAAAUUAGCGGAUGACUUGUGGCUGGGGGUGAAAGGCCAAUCAAACCGGGAGAUAGCUGGUUCUCCCCGAAAGCUAUUUAGGUAGCGCCUCGUGAAUUCAUCUCCGGGGGUAGAGCACUGUUUCGGCAAGGGGGUCAUCCCGACUUACCAACCCGAUGCAAACUGCGAAUACCGGAGAAUGUUAUCACGGGAGACACACGGCGGGUGCUAACGUCCGUCGUGAAGAGGGAAACAACCCAGACCGCCAGCUAAGGUCCCAAAGUCAUGGUUAAGUGGGAAACGAUGUGGGAAGGCCCAGACAGCCAGGAUGUUGGCUUAGAAGCAGCCAUCAUUUAAAGAAAGCGUAAUAGCUCACUGGUCGAGUCGGCCUGCGCGGAAGAUGUAACGGGGCUAAACCAUGCACCGAAGCUGCGGCAGCGACGCUUAUGCGUUGUUGGGUAGGGGAGCGUUCUGUAAGCCUGCGAAGGUGUGCUGUGAGGCAUGCUGGAGGUAUCAGAAGUGCGAAUGCUGACAUAAGUAACGAUAAAGCGGGUGAAAAGCCCGCUCGCCGGAAGACCAAGGGUUCCUGUCCAACGUUAAUCGGGGCAGGGUGAGUCGACCCCUAAGGCGAGGCCGAAAGGCGUAGUCGAUGGGAAACAGGUUAAUAUUCCUGUACUUGGUGUUACUGCGAAGGGGGGACGGAGAAGGCUAUGUUGGCCGGGCGACGGUUGUCCCGGUUUAAGCGUGUAGGCUGGUUUUCCAGGCAAAUCCGGAAAAUCAAGGCUGAGGCGUGAUGACGAGGCACUACGGUGCUGAAGCAACAAAUGCCCUGCUUCCAGGAAAAGCCUCUAAGCAUCAGGUAACAUCAAAUCGUACCCCAAACCGACACAGGUGGUCAGGUAGAGAAUACCAAGGCGCUUGAGAGAACUCGGGUGAAGGAACUAGGCAAAAUGGUGCCGUAACUUCGGGAGAAGGCACGCUGAUAUGUAGGUGAAGUCCCUCGCGGAUGGAGCUGAAAUCAGUCGAAGAUACCAGCUGGCUGCAACUGUUUAUUAAAAACACAGCACUGUGCAAACACGAAAGUGGACGUAUACGGUGUGACGCCUGCCCGGUGCCGGAAGGUUAAUUGAUGGGGUUAGCGCAAGCGAAGCUCUUGAUCGAAGCCCCGGUAAACGGCGGCCGUAACUAUAACGGUCCUAAGGUAGCGAAAUUCCUUGUCGGGUAAGUUCCGACCUGCACGAAUGGCGUAAUGAUGGCCAGGCUGUCUCCACCCGAGACUCAGUGAAAUUGAACUCGCUGUGAAGAUGCAGUGUACCCGCGGCAAGACGGAAAGACCCCGUGAACCUUUACUAUAGCUUGACACUGAACAUUGAGCCUUGAUGUGUAGGAUAGGUGGGAGGCUUUGAAGUGUGGACGCCAGUCUGCAUGGAGCCGACCUUGAAAUACCACCCUUUAAUGUUUGAUGUUCUAACGUUGACCCGUAAUCCGGGUUGCGGACAGUGUCUGGUGGGUAGUUUGACUGGGGCGGUCUCCUCCUAAAGAGUAACGGAGGAGCACGAAGGUUGGCUAAUCCUGGUCGGACAUCAGGAGGUUAGUGCAAUGGCAUAAGCCAGCUUGACUGCGAGCGUGACGGCGCGAGCAGGUGCGAAAGCAGGUCAUAGUGAUCCGGUGGUUCUGAAUGGAAGGGCCAUCGCUCAACGGAUAAAAGGUACUCCGGGGAUAACAGGCUGAUACCGCCCAAGAGUUCAUAUCGACGGCGGUGUUUGGCACCUCGAUGUCGGCUCAUCACAUCCUGGGGCUGAAGUAGGUCCCAAGGGUAUGGCUGUUCGCCAUUUAAAGUGGUACGCGAGCUGGGUUUAGAACGUCGUGAGACAGUUCGGUCCCUAUCUGCCGUGGGCGCUGGAGAACUGAGGGGGGCUGCUCCUAGUACGAGAGGACCGGAGUGGACGCAUCACUGGUGUUCGGGUUGUCAUGCCAAUGGCACUGCCCGGUAGCUAAAUGCGGAAGAGAUAAGUGCUGAAAGCAUCUAAGCACGAAACUUGCCCCGAGAUGAGUUCUCCCUGACUCCUUGAGAGUCCUGAAGGAACGUUGAAGACGACGACGUUGAUAGGCCGGGUGUGUAAGCGCAGCGAUGCGUUGAGCUAACCGGUACUAAUGAACCGUGAGGCUUAACCUU
rnacentral:rRNA from 1 species